CUUUAAGUUAAAAAAUCUCUGAACUUUUCAGAAAGGCGCUGGUGACGUCACUGCAGCUUCUUUAGCAGGGCUACUGUCUAAAGGCCUCUGAACAAGCCUUAAGAGACGUUUGACCACGAAGAGUGAAGAAAAUGUGGCGGCAGGACACAGCUGGGACAAGACAGAGGAACGAGGCUCAACAGAAUCAUCUCAUAACUCAGUCGGAGCGAGAAGCCUUUCACUUCUGCACCUGCAGACCUGACAGAACAAUGGAAGCC